GUGGGGAAUCUUGCGCAAUGGGCGAAAGCCUGACGCAGCCAUGCCGCGUGAAUGAUGAAGGUCUUAGGAUUGUAAAAUUCUUUCACCGGGGACGAUAAUGACGGUACCCGGAGAAGAAGCUCCGGCUAACUUCGUGCCAGCAGCCGCGGUAAUACGAACGGGGCUAGCGUUGCUCGGAAUUACUGGGCGUAAAGGGCGCGUAGGCGGACAGCUUAGUCAGAGGUGAAAGCCCAGGGCUCAACCUUGGAAUUGCCUUUGAUACUGGCUGUCUUGAGUUUGGGAGAGGUGAGUGGAACUCCGAGUGUAGAGGUGAAAUUCGUAGAUAUUCGGAAGAACACCAGUGGCGAAGGCGACUCACUGGCCAAAUACUGACGCUGAGGCGCGAAAGCGUGGGGAGCAAACAGGAUUAGAAACCCUAGUAGUCC
rnacentral:rRNA from 1 species